UACGUAGGGCGCAAGCGUUGUCCGGAAUCAUUGGGCGUAAAGCGCGUGUAGGCGGCUCGGCAAGUCCGCUCUGAAAGCCCGGGGCUCAACCCUGGGAGGCGGGUGGAUACUGCUGAGCUCGAGUCCGGAAGAGGCGAGUGGAAUUCCUGGUGUAGCGGUGAAAUGCGCAGAUAUCAGGAGGAACACCAAUGGCGAAGGCAGCUCGCUGGGACGGUACUGACGCUGAGACGCGAAAGCGUGGGGAGCAAACAGG
rnacentral:rRNA from 1 species